CACGUAGGGUGCGAGCGUUGUCCGGAAUUAUUGGGCGUAAAGAGCUCGUAGGCGGCUUGUCGCGUCGACUGUGAAAUCCCGCGGCUCAACUGCGGGUCUGCAGUCGAUACGGGCAGGCUAGAGUUCGGUAGGGGAGACUGGAAUUCCUGGUGUAGCGGUGAAAUGCGCAGAUAUCAGGAGGAGCACCGGUGGCGAAGGCGGGUCUCUGGGCCGAUACUGACGCUGAGGAGCGAAAGCGUGGGGAGCGAACAGG
rnacentral:rRNA from 1 species